UACGUAGGGGGCAAGCGUUGUCCGGAAUCAUUGGGCGUAAAGGGCGCGUAGGCGGCUCUGCACGUCCGUUGUGAAAUCGCCCGGCUCAACUGGGCGGGGUCAGCGGAUACGGCAGAGCUUGAGCAAGCUAGGGGGCAAUGGAAUUCCCGGUGUAGUGGUGGAAUGCGUAGAUAUCGGGAGGAACACCAGUGGCGAAGGCGGUUGCCUGGGGCUUUGCUGACGCUGAUGCGCGAAAGCGUGGGGAGCGAUCCGG
rnacentral:rRNA from 1 species